UAACGAAUCUUGGGCAAUGGGCGAAAGCCUGACCCAGCAAUGCCGCGUGCAGGAGGAAGCCCCUCGGGGUGUAAACUGCUGUCAGGGGUUAGCAAGCGAAGGGUGUUAACAGCGCCCGGAGUUGAGCAGCCCCAAAGGAAGCCUCGACUAACUCUGUGCCAGCAGUCGCGGUAAGACAGAGGAGGCAAGCGUGGUUCGGAAUCACUGGGCUUAAAGCGGGUGUAGGCGGCUGCGCAAGUGUUUUGUGAAAUCCCACGGCUCAACCGUGGAACCGCAGGGCAAACGGCGCGGCUUGAGGUCGGUAGAGGUGCCUGGAACGCUAGGUGGAGCGGUGAAAUGCGUAGAUAUCUAGAGGAACGCCAGAGGCGAAAGCGAGGCACUGGGCCGAUUCUGACGCUGAGACCCGAAAGCGUGGGUAGCAAACA
rnacentral:rRNA from 1 species